UACAUAGGGUGCGAGCGUUAAUCGGAAUUACUGGGCGUAAAGCGUGCGCAGGCGGCUUUGCAAGACAGAUGUGAAAUCCCCGGGCUCAACCUGGGAACUGCAUUUGUGACUGCAGGGCUAGAGUACGGCAGAGGGGGAUGGAAUUCCGCGUGUAGCAGUGAAAUGCGUAGAUAUGCGGAGGAACACCAAUGGCGAAGGCAAUCCCCUGGGCCUGUACUGACGCUCAUGCACGAAAGCGUGGGGAGCAAACAGG
rnacentral:rRNA from 1 species